GGGGACGCAGCUCAGUGGAAGAGCCUCUCCUUUGCAUGCAGUAGGUCCUGGGUUCAAUUCCUGACAUCUCUG
rnacentral:tRNA from 1 species